rnacentral:rRNA from 1 species
CUCAGGACGAACGCUGGCGGCACGCCUAACACAUGCAAGUCGAACGGAGAACUUUGAGUUUACUUAGAGUUCUUAGUGGCGGACGGGUGAGUAACACGUGAGCAACCUGCCUCUGAGAGAGGGAUAGCUUCUGGAAACGGAUGGUAAUACCUCAUAACGUAUAUUUAUCGCAUGGUAGAUAUACCAAAGAUUUAUCACUCAGAGAUGGGCUCGCGUCUGAUUAGCUAGAUGGUGAGGUAACGGCUCACCAUGGCGACGAUCAGUAGCCGGACUGAGAGGUUGAACGGCCACAUUGGGACUGAGACACGGCCCAGACUCCUACGGGAGGCAGCAGUGGGGAAUAUUGCACAAUGGGGGAAACCCUGAUGCAGCGAUGCCGCGUGGAGGAAGAAGGUUUUCGGAUUGUAAACUCCUGUCUUAAAGGACGAUAAUGACGGUACUUUAGGAGGAAGCUCCGGCUAACUACGUGCCAGCAGCCGCGGUAAUACGUAGGGAGCGAGCGUUGUCCGGAAUUACUGGGUGUAAAGGGAGCGUAGGCGGGAUUGCAAGUCAGAUGUGAAAACCAUGGGCUCAACCUGUGGACUGCAUUUGAAACUGUAGUUCUUGAGUGAAGUAGAGGUAAGCGGAAUUCCUAGUGUAGCGGUGAAAUGCGUAGAUAUUAGGAGGAACACCAGUGGCGAAGGCGGCUUGCUGGACGACAACUGACGCUGAGGCGCGAAAGCGUGGGGGAGCAAACAGGAUUAGAUACCCUGAUAGUCCACGCUUGUAAAACGAUGAAUACUAGGUGUGGGAGGACUGACCCCUUCCGUGCCGCAGUUAACACAAUAAGUAUUCCACCUGGGGAGUACGACCGCAAGGUUGAAACUCAAAGGAAUUGACGGGGGCCCGCACAAGCAGUGGAUUAUGUGGUUUAAUUCGACGCAACGCGAAGAACCUUACCAGAAUAAGACAUCCAACUAACGAAGCAGAGAUGCAUUAGGUGCCCUUCGGGGAAAGUUGAGACAGGUGGUGCAUGGUUGUCGUCAGCUCGUGUCGUGAGAUGUUGGGUUAAGUCCCGCAACGAGCGCAACCCCUAUUGUUAGUUGCUACGUAAGAGCACUCUAGCGAGACUGCCGUUGACAAAACGGAGGAAGGCGGGGACGACGUCAAAUCAUCAUGCCCCUUAUAUCCUGGGCUACACACGUAAUACAAUGGCCGUCAACAGAGGGAAGCAAAGCCGCGAAAUGGAGCAAAUCCCUAAAAACGGUCUCAGUUCGGAUUGCAGGCUGCAACUCGCCUGCAUGAAGCUGGAAUAAAUAGUAAUCGCGGAUCAGCAUGCCGCGGUGAAUA